CUACGCCCUCGCCUCGCGCCGCCGCGCCGCUCACGUGUGAACCUGUAACACCCCAAAACCACGUGGGGUGAGAACCAACUCCAUGGUUCCCAGUGGGUACGGCCACCCAAGGGAAAAGCUCGACCAAUAGGUCCAAGGGAGGCAACUGCAAGUUAGUUCAAUAAACAGAUAGAUAUGUAUCUUGAUUAUGCAACGAAUAAAACCAUGCAUUGCCUCACGAAUGCAAUAUGAAGAUCAUGCAAUGAUGCGACUAUACAAUCAACUAGUAAUUCAAUCGAUUACUACUUUCAUCCAAUUGAUAUUUAAGGUUUUCUGUCAUUUACCAUUUUAAUCAUAAAGUUUCAUCUAUCUUUACAAAGCUAACUAUCCGACUCGGUCUUGAGUCAAUCGUCUGCGGAGUACCGCACAAAGCCAGGCCCGAGGCGAAGGACGUCUCACUUGCACCUCGGCCUUAAAUCCCCUCAACUAGGACAUCACUAUAGCUCAUAAGUUUAUUACCCAAUCACUUGGCUAACCCGAAGGUUUCGCCCUCAACAAACUCACCAAUCCAAAAUCCCAUUAACCAGGGAGAUACUCGCUACAACCCGGUGGGACCGUCCUCUCGGGAGAUAACCGCUACAACCCAGUGAUGUCGACUCCGGAGCACAUCGCCCGAGGGGGAGCUACCACAACCUCGAGCAAAGACUAAAGGUGAGUAUGAUCAAUGAUCAAAUCCAAAAUCUUCAGGAUGUCAAGUUCAAUCCAUUCCUUAACUUUAGGAAGACUAUGCUCAAAUGACCCUAACUCUAGGGUUGAAAAGUCAUAAUAUUUCAAUCAUUCUUUUCUUUACAUUCUUUACUAUCACUUGUGUCAUAUACACUACUAUAUUCUUGGACUCAUGCCAUACUUGUUUUCUAAGUGUUCAACAUGCUAUAAGUGUUUCCACUAUACUAAUCAUAUGCCACUCGAUCUAAUAUAUAUAGAUUGUCCACGUCACAUAUCAUAGUUCAUAUGUCAUUGUUUUUCAAUGUCGAGUUCCCUAAUUCACCUAGAGUUUAUCGACCCAAGUUCAACAUGCAUGUGUCAUUUAACAUAAUCCACAAUAUGUCAAUAUACAUUCAUCUAGUAUAUUCUAUAAUAAAUCAACAUGCACUCAUUCAUCAUAUUCCACAAUAUGUCUACAUAUAUAUGCCAACCAUUCAUAUGCCAUCCAACAUGUUCCAUAAUUUAUCAACAUGCAUAUUACCUCUAACAUAUUACUAUAACAUUAUUUUCAUGCAUUCAUGUAACAAUUAACUCAUGCAUUCAUCUAGCAUUUAACACAUUAUAUGUCAUUAUGCAUGUUAUCUCAACAGUAAGUAACAUCGACUAUAUGCAUCAAUUAGAAAACCAUUACUCUUAGACAUAUAGGCGACCUAGUCGCUUUGGUGAGUACAACCCACCUCAUUUCGCAUUCCGAUUGCUUGUCGACACUUGCAAUCGGCCUCCCGCGGCACCCGGCACCCGGUUUGGCCCGAUCUCUUGCGCGACCACCCGAACGGCCUCCAAUUCACAAUCCGAAAAUUAAAGGUCUUCGGUUAUGUGCCACGAUGCUUCAAAUCCGUUUUCAUGAGUAUACGAUGUCGUCUCGGCCCUCCAGGCGGAAACGAAGCCUAAACGUCUGUUUCUUUAAUAACUUCGCAACGGCUCAACGAAUCGCCGAACCGACUUCGCCAACGCGUUCGUUUACCUAGCAAUUAGGUUUACGGAGGGUCAAAUUAGAUCAAACCCUUAUAUUUUAAAAAACCCAUUCGGAGCCCUAAUAUGCAAUUAACUUCCAAUUAAUCCAAAUUAAAUGGAGAUAACAUGUUUAGAACACUCUAGAUACUACUAGAACAUCAUUCAUGAAGGAUUUAAACAAAAUCCCAAACUCUUACCAAAACGUGAACGCCGCGACGAAAACACGCCGCUCCAACGGGCGCACGAAAGCUCGAUCCGUCGCUCCCAACGCGUUCGCAAGCAUCUUCUCCGCCAACACCGCGAAUUUGAGCGAGAGAUAUAGAGAGAUGAGAGAGAAAUCUAGAGAGAGAAAGAAAGCUUUCUCUCUUCCCACCAUGUAUGCGGG
rnacentral:lncRNA from 1 species